GAUGAACGCUGGCGGCGUGCCUAAUACAUGCAAGUAGAACGCUGAAGGAAGUAGCUUGCUCUUUCCGGAUGAGUUGCGAACGGGUGAGUAACGCGUAGGUAACCUGCCUGGUAGCGGGGGAUAACUAUUGGAAACGAUAGCUAAUACCGCAUAACAGUAGAUGUUGCAUGAUAUCAACUUAAAAGGUGCAAUUGCACCACUACCAGAUGGACCUGCGUUGUAUUAGCUAGUUGGUGAGGUAACGGCUCACCAAGGCGACGAUACAUAGCCGACCUGAGAGGGUGAUCGGCCACACUGGGACUGAGACACGGCCCAGACUCCUACGGGAGGCAGCAGUAGGGAAUCUUCGGCAAUGGACGGAAGUCUGACCGAGCAACGCCGCGGGAGUGAAGAAGGUUUUCGGAUCGUAAAGCUCUGUUGUAAGAGAAGAACGAGUGUGAGAGUGGAAAGUUCACACUGUGACGGUAUCUUACCAGAAAGGGACGGCUAACUACGUG
rnacentral:rRNA from 1 species